AUCCUUAGCAAUGAAAAUAUUUAUUUCUGCUUUAAAUAUAAUGAACACUUUGCAUUAUAAUCGGAUUAAAAAUAGCUAAUGUCUUUUGCUUGUUUUUCGUCAUUCGUAAACUUAUUCUGCAUUGCUUUGACAGAGGCCCAGGUACGAGUACAAGCAUAACGAAAACAGCUUGCGAUAAGAGCAGCGAGCGAAAGCUUUAGAAUAUUGUAAAUUCAUUCAAAAGUACAUAUUUCAAUGAUGAAAUAUUCCCUGCCAGAUGCCCAAUACAACAGAGUGGACGACCAGAGUAGAGUGGAUGAAAGGUCGAAUUGAAGUGCUGCCAGCUUGAUAUCAUCAAAAAAUCAAAUAUUAACCAGUUCAAACGUAUGGCCAUAUUAAUACCCAUCAAUCUACUCGGUUUUUACAAAUCGAAGCACUUAAAAAGCGCGUCCAUUCCGGCUAUACUUAUUCCGAUCGCAAAGUGGUUCUGCAAUCUAGUAGAUAUAAUCUUUCUUCAUGAGUCUCCGGAUUUCCCCUAUCUGUCUAUAAACGUUUCACUCACCAGUGUGUGGGUGUAGCCAAGACCCUCUUCCAUAUCUCCCUCGACCAUGGGGCUCUGCUCUCCACGAUGGUGAGGAUGAUGACCCAUAUUUGAGUACAGCGAGGACGCAUUGGAAUGUGUACGCACAGGGUGGUGUAUCCGGGCUGAGGCCGAUGAUGGUGCGACUAGCAGGGAUUCGCUUUCGUUUUUGUUUACUUUCGCCAUUUCUUAUAUCUUAUAUCUCUCGACUUUCCACGCACGAAAAGCUCUUAAAUUUUGAAUUUUUUCAGCAUUCGUCACUUGUGAAUGCCCAUGGAAUCACAUUCGUCACAUGAAUUGAAUUUAAAAGCAAGAGCAAAAGCAAAUUUCUUGGGCUCUUUUCUACAUUAAGUCCAAUUAGCACAAUGUAAAAUGCACUUGUGUUGCAGUACACGAUGAUGGCGAAGUCACAAGAUCGACUUCCUUUCGAGAUCCAAGGGCUCGAGCUCGGGCGACGAGUAGGUGGUUGCACCAGUAACUUCUGCUGUCCAACGACUGUGACGACGACGACGACGACGACGUCUCCGUUGCCUGGGAAACUUCUACUGAUACCGCGCUACCGUCUACCGGCUACCGGCCACCAUUGCCGCUCUCUGGUGUUAUCUGUAGAAAUCACUUUUUACUCUUGUCUACCCUUUGGGCCGAAUCCGACUGGCGAUAAGGGAGUGUUUAAGAGGUUUUUUGUAUAGCCAAUAGCCAUGUGUACAUUUCAAGUGGCGCACUUAACUGUGUGAAGGCUUAAUUAACAGCAGCAAUAACGACCAUAACAAUGGCACAUCGGAAUACCUGUCUCACAGGUUAAUUAUAUUCUUAUCAAAAUAUAUUUGGGAUAUCACUUGCAAUGCCACUGAGAAACCGAUCUGGAAUGAGGAGGAAAUGUACAAGUAAUAUGAAAACAUGGUUUAUGUUUGUUCUGAUUUUCCCCACAAUAAAGCAAGUAGCUUCCGACUGAACGAUUAGACGCCACUACGAGUAUAUACUCGUGAUAAGGCUGUAAUCGUUGGAUCGAGGCUGACUAAGACACAGUGCAGUGCAGGAGGAGCGGAACAGUAGGCGGAAUAAUUUAUGAUUUUAUUAUUAUUUAUAAAUUGCCAGCCAGCCAGUUUCAUUGAGCAACUUUUGGCUGAACUUUAAAGAUUUAUUACAAUUUGUUAAUCUCUAGUCAGUAUUAUGAUGGGGGAUUGUACAAAUUUACGGGUUGCGAAUUCCAAAUUCCGAUGUCAGUGCCAAAGUUAUUUUGUUUAAGCUCAUAAUUCUUAACGCUAUACAUUUUUGGAUUUGUUUAAAUAUUUUCUGUUUAUUUUUAUUGAUCUGCUAAAAAUGGAUAAUGCUAAUGACCAUUUUAAACGACUAUCAAAUUAUUUGAUGGCUGUGUUGUGUUUUCAUUGGCUACUGGCCAUAGGCAUUACUGGCUAUCUAAGUAGUGGGAUCUAUAGAUCUUUCCUGAUAAAUAUAAACCCUUAUUAAUGUAGUAUAUAUGUAUGUAUAAACUUUCUUGUAUCACUUUUUUCACGGUUUCUGUGUCAUGGCAAUACGAAGUGAAUCUUUGAAGCCACUCGAGGAAAAUAUUAAUAAUGUAUGUACAUAUUUGCUCUAGCUGAUAAGGAAACGUAAUAAUGUGAAAGACAAAUCUUUUGAAGGGGCACGAUCAGACAAGUGGAUGGCCUGCUGAAGUUUGAACUCAUUUUUUAAGGGGAUUUUAAGCCAACCUCUUUGAGUUAAGACUAAACCUAAAGUAAUUGUCGAGUAGCACUUCUUCACUUCUCUUACCUCAUCUGCAGCGUUUACUGUGGCCUGUCUGUUGAAUAUAUGUACCUACGAGUUAUACUAUAAAAAGCUCAAAGUUUGACAAAAAA